UACGUAGGUGGCGAGCGUUAUCCGGAAUUACUGGGCGUAAAGCGCAAGCAGGCGGCGACUUAAGUCUGACGUGAAAUCUCCUGGCUUAACUGGGAGGGGACGUUGGAAACUGGGUUGCUUGAGGCGAUGAGAGGGGUGUGGAAUUCCCGGUGUAGUGGUGGAAUGCGUAGAUAUCGGGAGGAACACCAGAGGCGGAAGCGGCACCCUGGCAUUAGCCUGACGCUGAGAUGCGAAAGCGUGGGGAGCAAACGGG
rnacentral:rRNA from 1 species